GCCUCCCCAGUGGUUUGGGAAGCCCUGGUUCUCGUGGCGUGCUUUGCCUGUGCAGGGCUGAAUGCAUCAGAUCAGUUUGAACGUGCUUGAUGCCACAAAUCAGCACCUGCUGGGCAGUGAGCCUUGGCAUGUGCUCUAUUUUUGGGUGCAGAAUAAGGGAGCCAUUCAUCUCGAGCUGAUUUGCAAGGAUAAACUGGAGUGGGAGAGCAGCAGUGACUCAGCUCAGCGUUCUGGGCCUGCUCAGUAACUGUGGAGCUGCUCUGCUUCCCUCAGAUGGAAUGGACAAUCCUUCCCAACUCCAAGCACCUUGUCCCAGGCCUUUCCCACUGCCAUGAGUGGAGAGGAGACACAUGGCUCCUGCUUGAGGAGAGCAGAAAAGGCAUUUCCAUCCUGAAGGCAGUGGCUGGAAGGGCUGCCUGGGCUCUGACCUGCUGCAGGCUGGCCCAAGGGGUGCACAGAGAUGCCCAAGGGGGCUGGAGACCACCUUCACUCGGCAGCAGACACAGGCUCAGAGCUGCUGGAAGCCUCCUGGGAUGCUCCAGAGUCAGAAUUGAAAAUGGACACGGAUACUGCCACUGCCUGCUCACGUUUUCCCAGCAAUCCCAAACUGAAGAAAAGCGGUUUUUUUCCCUUUCCUAGGAGGUACUGGCAUUCCUCCAAGCACGGAGGGACCAGAUGGAGCAGUAACACAGCUAAAACUGGGCGGGGG
rnacentral:lncRNA from 1 species